rnacentral:lncRNA from 1 species
AUGGUGACAAAGUGGUCCCAAAUCUCAAGGCUUUUUCCACCAAUUGAUCAAGCUGAACUCAAGUGGAGAACUGCUAUUUGGAGUUCUAUUUCUUGGGUGACCAGGUCUGUUCAUCUGGAAGAGAGGAAAGGAUGAAAGAAAGAGAAAUCACUGAGAAGUGCCUAUCAUGUGAAACAUGUAAUAUCUUACUUUCUUGUCCUACUAUAAUGCAUAAAGAAUGAGUAUUUUGGAUUUUAUUUAAUAUGGUAAGUAUAACACAGGGACCCAUGUGUCUGAGCAUAUUUAACUGUAUAAAUCUGUACCUUUCUGAGGAAAUCUCUAUAUUUUGAGUUAGGAAUCAAUGUAAUGCUAUUAAAUAAAGGCCCAAUUUUACUUUAUAUUCA